AUGUACAUAAUAGCAUUUUAUUUUCUUUCUUUCUUCUCUUAAGUUUUUCUUUCUUUCUUUCUUUCUUUU
rnacentral:ribozyme from 1 species